rnacentral:rRNA from 1 species
GACGAACGCUGGCGGCGUGCCUAAUACAUGCAAGUUGAGCGCUGAAGGUUGGUACUUGUACCAACUGGAUGAGCAGCGAACGGGUGAGUAACGCGUGGGGAAUCUGCCUUUGAGCGGGGGACAACAUUUGGAAACGAAUGCUAAUACCGCAUAAAAACUUUAAACACAAGUUUUAAGUUUGAAAGAUGCAGUUGCAUCACUCAAAGAUGAUCCCGCGUUGUAUUAGCUAGUUGGUGAGGUAAAGGCUCACCAAGGCGAUGAUACAUAGCCGACCUGAGAGGGUGAUCGGCCACAUUGGGACUGAGACACGGCCCAAACUCCUACGGGAGGCAGCAGUAGGGAAUCUUCGGCAAUGGACGAAAGUCUGACCGAGCAACGCCGCGUGAGUGAAGAAGGUUUUCGGAUCGUAAAACUCUGUUGGUAGAGAGGAACGUUGGUGAGAGUGGAAAGCUCAUCAAGUGACGGUAACUACCCAGAAAGGGACGGCUAACUACGUG